UCCUCCCAUCGUCACAUCAAAACUAAGACCCUGAGAAUCUGGAUUCCUUUCAAGCCCUCCCACCGGUGGAAUCCGCAGGAUAGGAGGAGUCCGGCUCCUCUCGCUGGGCCGCGGAGUGGGGAGGGGUGCAGCGUCUCGUCCUUGCCUAUUAAGCUGGCCGGGUCAGCUGUCAUUGUGUUUGGACUAUGGUUUCGGUUCGGAGGCAGCAUGAAGGAUUUAUCAUCAGAGGACAAGUCGCCGGAGUACUUCUACGUGGGACUCUAUGUGCUGGUUGGAGCUGGGGCCCUAAUGAUGGCUGUGGGGUUCUUCGGGUGCUGCGGAGCCAUGCGGGAGUCACAGUGCGUGCUUGGAUCAUUUUUUACCUGCCUACUGGUGAUAUUUGCUGCUGAAGUGACCACUGGAGUAUUUGCUUUUAUAGGCAAGAGUGUAGCUAUCCGACAUGUUCAGACCAUGUAUGAAGAGGCUUACAAUGAUUACCUUAAAGACCAAGGAAAGGGAAAUGGGACUCUCGUUUCCUUUCACUCAGCAUUUCAGUGCUGUGGAAAAGGAAGUUCUGAACAGGUCCAACCCACAUGCCCAAAGGAUCUUCUAGUCCACAAGAAUUGCAUUGAUGAAAUUGAAACCAUAAUCAGUGUUAAGCUUCAGCUCAUCGGAAUUGUUGGUAUUGGAGUUGCAGGUCUCACGGCCCCACCUCCUAAAGGUUCCACCAUUUCCCAAAAGCACCAUCAGCGGGGACUGUCCUUCAAGACAUGAGCCUCUGAGGGACAUUUAAGAUCCAAACUGUAACACAUGGUAAAGGGGAAAUACCUAGAUCUUUGGCAUGAUAUUCAGCAUGGUCCUUUGCUGUGCAAUAAGAAACUCACGAGAUGUGAUAUGAAACUACUUCAUCAUGAAAAUUACAGUCUAAAAUUUUCAUACUAAAUGUCACAAGAGCUGUCUCUCAGCUAAUUUUUAAUAUUCAGAGGACAUUAGGAUCUAAAAUAAUUUGCUGUCAGUUGUACAUUUGCACAUGUAUGUAUGCCUGGGCCAUGGCUGGUUUGUCCCUUGAGUGAAUGCUUGUGUAUGUUGGCUGAGAAUGUAUUCAUAUGUGAUCUGUAUGUUUCUGGUAAUCCAUUACACCUAAGGAAAUCUACUUGCUGGGAAUUACUAGUUCUUGUUAUGUAGGAGGAACAAUCUAUUAGAAAAAGAUCAAAAAGCUUUGGGGAAACUUUAAAAACCAGGCUAUUCAUAAGAUGUAAUAUUGGACCAGUUUUUUAGACUUCAGCCAUGACAAUUAGGUAUAUACAGGGAAUUCAAGGAUUUCUAACUAGUGCAAGCAAUAAGCUACAGGAAUUAAGAGGUCCCAGUGCAGUGUUAAAAAUGACUGUGUCUGAGAGUAAGGAUUUCCUGGAAUUUUUUUAUAUACAUGUUCUCCCUAUAAUACAAUAAACCACAGUUUUAGAACUAAACACAUCUGUAAAACUAAAUACAGCAUGGAAAAUCUAAUUUGAAUAAGUCGUGCUUUCCUCAUAUUUAAAAACAAAAAAAACUCCCUCUGGAAAGAGUAGUCACAUAGACAAUUGUGUGUUCUAUAAAAGUGAGUGAUUUUUACGACUAAAAAAGUUUUCAAGCACUUUUAAGGAAAUAUUGUUAUUCUCAUACAAAGACAGGUGAGUAUUGCUUUAUCUCUUUCCUUUUCUGACUCUGCUCUGAACUACUGCAACCCUCAUAUUUUCAAAAGGGCUUUUAUCUCAAACUCUUCUGUGUUUCUCCAAACAUAAGGACAGAUAAACUAAAGCCAAAAAUCUAAACCAAUUUGGCAGUUGCAAAUUAUGGAAAAGAGAAUUUUUACUGGCAUUGUAUUUUUGAAAUACCUCAUAACUUGAGUUUACGAUAUUUUCCUAAUUUUUUGUAGUUUUCUUAUUUAUUCACUCAGAGAAUUCUUCAUAGAUUUAGAACUACAUGAGCUGGGGAUUUAGCUCAGUGGUUCUGCCACCUGCCCCCCAAGCACAAGGACCCGAGUUUGAUCCCCAGUAC